UGGUCUUCCUGCGGCGAUUAUUUGUCAAUUCCGUCAGGCCUGGAAGGGAGCAGCGGUAGCAGAAACAUUGGGUGUAGGUUUUGGCUGGC
rnacentral:SRP_RNA from 1 species